CCGCCGCCUUCUGUCGACGGAGGCUGCUGACGGGAACGCGACCGGGGUGGGCAGCGCCCGGGGCCGGGCCCUUUUCCUCUGAGGGUCCGCCGGCGGAGCCUGGGGCCCGGCGAGCCAGGCAGAGGCCCUGGGACGUUGGACGCUGGCGAAGACCCGCCUGCUGGGCCCGGCCCGUCUGUGCGCCUUACGGGCUCCGUGACCCCUGGCAGGUCACUUAGGUCGGGCCUCAGUUUCCCCGUCCUUCUAGAGGGCUUGCGACGUGAGAGUGGCCGAGAAGGAAAGAAAGUUCAUGUCACAAGCACCGCCUACCUAAGAACUUUUAUAGAAAGCUGCUGACAAGACUGGAUGAGAUGCUACAGCUGACAAGUAUAUGAAAGAGAAUGAAAUAACUUGAGUUCUGGAGUGAACAGUUAAGUUCCUGGAUUGUUGAAAGUUCCAUUCUUUACAUGGGACUAACCAUCUUUUGUGAGGUUCAACUGAAGAGGCUGUUCUAAGAAAGACGACUGAGGUAAUCAAUUACCUUCCUCGGAGAAAGUCUGCUCAGGUAGCAGUUUGUUUACCAUGUAAACAGUGGAGCAUUUACUGUUGAAAUAGCCGGACUAGAGAUUUUGGACCUCUCGGUGGGGGGGCACAGUGGGGGGCACGAGGGCAAGAGAGAUGGUGGGGGAGAGAAGAUGGGUCUUGGGGAAGGAGACCUGUGGCUUGUCUUUCCCAGUCCCCUCUGAGGAGAUUCAAAAAGGUAAAGACUGUCCCUUCAACUCACAUGGCAGGUGUGUGUCUACUCAUCUUACUGAGCAGGAUGACAAACCAGGUUUUCCCAGAAAGCCUGGGACCGCAGGGGACAGGAGUGACUAGAGGAGGCAGGGGUGCAGGGGAGGACUGCGGAUAAUCCUUAACUUUCCAAAAGCAAGAAUACAGGACACUUCAUGAACUUCAGAUUACUUGCCCCUUUGGUGGGGAGGAGGGGUGACUAUUUUUUUUUUUUACUGAAGGGGACUAAAAUAAUCCAUUUUUAGGGCUCACUUUUCUGAGACCACAGCAAAAAAGCAAAACUCAGAAUCUGUUGCUUUGGGUGAGAAACGGUGAUAAUGAUCUCUAACUCUGCUCAGUGAUUCUAAAAUUGCUAUUUAUAGCAAACAUUACACAUUAAAAACAACUAAACUAAAAAAAUGGAUGCCAGCUAUGGACACAGUAAGAAGAUCAGGGGCUGGGGGGCGGAGGGAAGGACGUCUUGGUGGAGCGCAGAGGAUUUUUAGGGCAGUGAAAGUCUUCUGUUUGCUGCUGUAGUGCUGGAUACAGGUCACUGUAUAAUUGUUAAAGCCUGUAGAAGGUACACCACCAAGGGUGAGCCCUAACGUAAACUGGUCUGUAUUUAAUCAUGUGUCAUAUAUUGGUUCAUCAGUUAGAACAAAUACACCGCAGUAAUAAAAAAUGUUAAUAAGGGGGAAACUGUGUGUGUGAGUGUGGGGAGGGGAGGUAGGAAGGGAGCAAUAUACGGGAACCCUGUGCUUUCUGCUG